AGAGGAAAAAAAAAUGAACUAGAACACAUAAAGGAGGGGAAAUUAGAGAGGGAUUCGCUGUCGCUAAUAGCUGUCACGGGGAAGAGGUUCCACUGAGUCGAGAAGCUUCAGAACCUCCGUCUCCAUGGCAACUCCCUCAAAAUCGUCGAAAUGGACCGACAACGUUUCCUCAAUAGCAGCUCGCAUCUUGUUCCUUCUUAUCAUCUUUCAGAUCCCUCUUUUCAGGGUGAGUUGCAGAUCUGGCAUGUGUACAAACCCUUUGCAUGUCACAUCGUCGCAGUUAAUUGCAAGUGAAAUCUUUCCUGCUGUUGUGGUGAAAGGCCUUCUGUACCCAGGGGCUGCAGUGAACGGCCUCAUCCACAACAUGACCAUUCCAAGUUGGGAUAGUUUGCUGGACUUGUAUAAUUUGACCAAUGUGAAGGAAGCAUCUGCAGUAACUGAUCUUCAGCGCUUGGAGGUUCUUGCCGGAAGCUACUUCUUAGUGGCAGGAGCACUUGUGGGUGUUCUGAAACCCGGAAGAAUGAGCGUGUUUGGGAACCUUCUUAUUAUUUGGGGACUGGUCAAAGAAGGGAUUUUAGGAAAACCAGUAAAUUCUGAUCCUUCAAAAGCUGUGUACGUCUAUCCAACAAUGGUGAUUGCUUUGUUAUGUGCUUUCUCGUCCGUUAAGUAUGAUGUGAAGAAGGCUGUUAGGUCAGCCCCUGUCAGGUCUUCUGCUAAACCGCUUCAGAGCUCAUCUAAGUCUAAGCUGAAAUAGGCUAUUCUCAUGUUGACAAGUUAAAGUUGUACGCUUUCCACCCAAAUUCAUUUUGGAACAUUUAGGUGAUACGGGCUUCAAUUUAAGGUUUUUGAGGGAGAAUAUUGAGGCGUUGAGAUCACAGUUCAAAUCACACUACCUUAUGAGAGAGGGCGCAUUAAAUGCCACAUAAGGUUAAAACUAAUACCACCUCAUCAUCACACAUAUUAUCUAGUUUUUACUUUCUUUUUUAAAAUUAUAUCUUUUCUUCAAUUAUUAUAUUUGUUAAAUUCAACCAAGAACGAACUAUUUAUUUAAUGUCAUGAUUAGAUUUACUAUCAAUAACUUAUACUCAGGAAACCAAAGAUUUUUAAAUGAUAUCAAUUAUUUUGUGAAA